CCUACGGGAGGCAGCAGUGGGGAAUAUUGCGCAAUGGGCGAAAGCCUGACGCAGCGACGCCGCGUGUGGGAUGACGGCCUUCGGGUUGUAAACCACUGUCGCGAGGGACGAAGCUCUGACGGUACCUCGAAAGGAAGCACCGGCUAACUCUGUGCCAGCAGCCGCGGUAAUACAGAGGGUGCGAGCGUUGUCCGGAAUCACUGGGCGUAAAGGGCGCGUAGGUGGCCUGAUAAGUAGGGGGUGAAAUCUCGCGGCUCAACUGCGAGGCUGCCUCCUAAACUGUCGGGCUCGAGCAGAGUAGAGGCAGGUGGAAUUCCCGGUGUAGCGGUGGAAUGCGUAGAGAUCGGGAAGAACAUCGGUGGCGAAGGCGGCCUGCUGGGCUCUUGCUGACACUGAGGCGCGACAGCGUGGGGAGCAAACAGGAUUAGAUACCCUGGUAGUCCACGCCGUAAACGAUGGGUACUAGGCGCCGGGGGAGCGACCCCUUCGGUGCCGUCGCUAACGCAAUAAGUACCCCGCCUGGGGAGUACGGCCGCAAGGCNGAACUAAUAGAUAGACGCGUGAGAGUGCGACGACGACACGAGGGAGAGG
rnacentral:rRNA from 1 species